ensembl:lncRNA
AUGAUGGCUGUGUGUGUGCUGGUCAACAGUGAUGACAGCAGCUCUGAGGCAGAGCCAGACUGCAGUGGCAGCGAGGCCUCCAGUGCAGAGCCCCGUGAGGAAAGACCCCGGCGGCCAGAGCCCCCACCCCUACCGCAGCCCCUCACCAGGCACAGCUCCCUGAGGGAGGCCCCGACCAGAGAAGUCUCUCCACACUGCCCUGAGGAGCCCCAAGCUGUGCAAGGUGAGCGGACAGCCUGCCUGGAUGGGAGCCAGGCUUGCUUGAUCCUGGGGCACAGGGAGGGAGCGGAGACACCCCCCCCCCCCGCCCGGCAACUGUUUCCUCACGGAGAAUGAGGGGCCAGUAGGCCCAGCCCUCAGGCUCAGAGGCAGUGAGGCCAGGGUAUAUGUGGGGGUGAGGGGACUGGACCCAGGCCCAGCCUCUUGCUCCAUAAGAAGAUUUGGAAUCUCAAGUGGGGUGUAUGGCAGAGGGGCCUGACUGACUGGCUGCGGUGUGUCCCGGGCUGGCAGAGAUAAGGGGGGCCCCGGCACCCUCUCGCCUAGAGCAGUCUCCUCUUUGAUAUCUCUUUAGAGCAUUCCAUAGCCCCGCUAGAGAAAGAUGUGGCUCAGUGCAUGGACCACAGCCAUCUGGGUGGCACAGCUUCCCUGGGGGCCCCUGGGGACAGCACAGGGCCAUCAGCCGUGCUUGGGACACGUGGCACGCACUAAAACUUGACCUGCGCAGGAAUAAAUACACUCUCACUAAGUACCUGUUUGGUUUUCCCAAACAUGGCCCCAUGGCAUCCUCAGGACAACCCCGCUGGGGUCGGUAAGCUCACCAUUUUACCUGUGAGCAAACACACUGUGUUUUCCCUAGGUCUCACGGCUGGUAAUCGGUGUGGCUCCGUGCUGGGGCCCUCCGCACCCUAAAAAGUCGUUGCCUUUAGCAGCCCAGCUUGUGUUAAUAAAGGUGGCCUUGAAUUGAAUGUUUUGAUUCAGUCAACAGUAACUUGUGACCUCGGGGCUGGGAAGAAGCAGGCUCACUGAAACUUCCCACCUGAGGCACCAACAGCUUCACUGCCCUGGGAGAGCGGGUACUCAGCUUGUCCUGCACACCCCUCUGGUGGCCGAGAGCAGAACUUCCGCCUGAACCGAGAAACAAUCUCCCAAGGCUUGGUUUCACAGGAAAACCCGAGCGGGGCCGGCCUCCUGGAAGUUCUGGAUUUACCCUCCCCUGUGAGCCUUUUUAAAAAAGGGCACAUUGGGGCGCCUGGGUGGCUCAGUGGGUUAAGUGUCCAACUUCAGCUCAGGUCGUGAUCUCGCAGUUUGUGAGUUCAAGCUCUGCGUCUGACUCCGGGCUGACAGCUCAGAACCUGGAGCCUGCUUCAGAUUCUGUGUCUCCUUCUCUCUCUCUGCCCCUCCCCCACUUAUGCUCUGUUUCUCUCUCUCUCUCCCUCUCCCUCUCCCUCUCCCUCUCCCUCUCCCUCUCCCUCUCCCUCUCUCCCCCCAAAAUAAACAUUUAAAAAAAACUUAAAAGUUAUUUUUAAAUAAGACAAAUUGUCAUCAGGACGUACUUGUUAAAAACCACUGUGGUGCCGUCCAAAAGGCUAAGCAUAUGCAGGGGACAGAGCGCUAGCUGUGCUGUGCCCAGCUGAGUGCAGACUGCCUCUGUCUGGUUAUGUGUGGCCUCUGUCUCCUCUCCCUGGGCUCCGGCCUCCUCCUUUAUAGAUAUGAAGCCUGCCUGCCUUUCAUCCCCUCCCUCCAUUUUCUCCUCUCUCCUCAGUUGCCAGGGGAUUUUAGACAAGUUAUAAAAAAGACAUAAUACAAAAUUACAUGUCACUCUCUAUAAAAGAUAAAUCCCCAAGGUCAAGGUUAACAAAACCAGUUUAGGAGUUAGAGACUCCAGCGAGGCAGGCUGUAGUCCUAAAUGGUUGCUCUAGUGGGAUCAUGAAUUUCAUUCUGAGUUUUCUGGCAGCCAGAGUUUGAAAGGAAACACAAUUAUUAUUCAUAAUAAUAUUCAUAAUUCAAAACAAUGUAUUGGCUUGUAGCAAGUUUCAGAUCUGGUACCACUUUUCCUAGUGCUUCACUCUGUAGAAAUUGUCCAGCUCAUGUUAAAUAGAUGGCAUUGAGGGAUUCAGGAGUCCCUGUCUUGAGCGAGGCUGUCUCAUGCAACAGCCCUGGCUGGCAGGUGAGGGCAUGGUGGCAAAACAUGGCUCAGCAGGAACACUUCUUCCAAGGGGACAGGGCUGCGUCAAGUCAACAAGGCAGUGUGGCCAACGCAUUUUGUUCCUGACAGUCUAGUUUGAUUCCAGAAUGAAAUACAGAGUAGACAGAGAAGUGGAUAGAUGGCAUGACGUCCAGGCAAUCUUUUAUUGAUUUCGCCUCCAUGCAUCAUGUUUUUGAUCGUUGCUAGGCAGACCACAUUGUAAGGUUAAGAUCUCUGGUACCAUCGAAGUGUGGUGUUUUGUGUUGCUAGUUAUGGUGAGUCUGUUAUUUUGCGAGAUAAUAUAGGGUUGUUAUGUUGUGCAUGUUAAUGGAGCUUCAUGAAUCACAAUGUUCCCUUGGAUAAAUGGCUCAGAGCUGAGCUGAGGGAAUGCCAAACAAAGCCGAGAUACUGCUUUAAGAAGACUCCUGGUUUGCACACCUAUGCCCAUCCGGCGUUAUUUACAAUUGCCAAAGGGGGAAAUGCCCCCAAGUUCAACAACAGGUGACCAGAUAAACAAAGUGUGCGAUAUUCAUAUAAUGGAAUGUUAUUCAGUGUUAAAAAGGAAUGAAAUUCUGACACACUGCCACAUGGAUGAACCUAAGCCAGACACAAAAGGACAAGCAUUGUAUGAUUCCACUUCUACGAGGUCCCUAGAAUAGCCAGAUUCAUAGAAAGAGAAAGCAGAAUGGUGAUGACUGGAGGGGGUGGGGCGGAUAGGAGUGUGGGGAGUGACAGCUUAAUGAGUAUCAGUUUGGGAUGUAGAAAAAGUUCUGGAAAUGGAUGGUGGCGAUGGUUACACACUGUGAAUGUCCCUAAGGCCCCUGAGCUGUAGACUUUAAAAUGGUUAAAGUGGUAACUUUAUGUUACAUAUAUUUUACCACAAUUUAGAGAAAGACUUCUGGGACUACCUUGGCUCAUCAAGGAACCUAUUGUAUCUUCAAAGUUCUUCAGCAUAGAGCCUGACCAAGAUGAUGGCCUGAUAUAGAAUUUAAGCCCUGUGGGGGUGCCUGGGUGGCUCAGUCAGUUAAGCACCUGACUUCAGCUCAGGUCAUGAUCUUGCGGUCUGUGAGUUCGAGCCCCAUGUCAGGCUCUGCGCUGACAGCUCAGAGCCUGGAGCCUACUUCAGAUUCUGUGUGUGUGUCUCUCUCUCUGCCCCUCCCUGUUCAUGCUCUGCCUCUCUCUCUCAAAAAUAAAUAAUAAAACAUUAAAAAAAAAUUUAAGCCCUGUGUUAUCGAGGUUCAGUGGAAAAUGUGCAGUAACGCUCCCCUAAGACACCUAGUUCAGUGGUUCUUAAAAAUCUUGUUUGAAAGGCAGAUAUCUAGGUCACCACCUUCAAGAGAUUCAGAUUCAGUGGAUCUCAGUGAAUCAAGAGAUUCAGAUUCAGUGGAGUAGAGCCAAGUGUCUGCAUUUUAUGUAAGUGCCCCAGCUCCUUCCAUGCAGGAGGGCCACGACCUACACGUUGGGGAAUCACAGAGGAGCAGCUCAAGAGAGACUGUCUGCGUAAGUGUGUUGUAAAAUGC